rnacentral:misc_RNA from 1 species
AAGUCGUAACAAGGUUUCCGUAGGUGAACCUGCGGAAGGAUCAUCAUCAAUUUCAUAUCCCCCUCCCCCUCACAGGGGUGGGGGAUCCAUGAUAAACCCUUCUGUGCACCGUAAACCGUUCACUUUGGCAGGCUUUGGUGGUGAGCGUGAGCUCCCCGCCAACCUCGGCUUCUCCCUCCCCCAGAGGGCGAUCGCGAGGCGGCCUGCCGGAGUCCUGCAAUUAAAAACGCGUUUUCGAACUAGACUGAAAAUUUCCUUUGAGAAAUCAAAGAACCUAAAACAACUUUCAACAACGGAUCUCUUGGCUCUC